ACCCUGGUGGCUCAGAGGGUAAAGUGUCUGCCUGCAAUGCAGGAAACCCCGGGUUCGAUUCCUGGGUCGGGAA
rnacentral:tRNA from 1 species